GCCUGGGUGGCUCAGUCAGUUGAGUGCCUGACUUUGGCUCAGGUCAUGAUCUAUCUCACAGCUCUGUGGGUUCGAGCCCCACAUCGGGCU
rnacentral:tRNA from 1 species